GAAUUUUUUAUUUAUCAGACAUGUUUGCAAUACAAAAUCUUAAUUUGGGGAAUUUUCAGAUGAUUAAUGCUCUUCAACCUAUUUUUGUCAGUUUGUCAGCAAGAUUAUUCCUAAAGGAAUCUUUUGGAGUUUUAAAUAUUGUUUCUCUUGUUGUUAUGAUGGCUGGCGUAGUUCUCGUUAUUAAGCCACCCUUUCUAUUUACAUCGGAGGAAACCCCUGAAAAUAGAGUAGUAUGUUCUGGAUUGCAGUUGGAGCAUCAAUUCUCUCUAAAAUGGUUUCAGCAAACCUUAUUGUUAUCCUGAGAUACCUCAGAUGUGAAACUGCAGAUUUUAGGACUUGGAGUUGCAACAUUAGUAUCUUCCAAUAUGAAUCUUGUAGCUCUUAAACUGGAAGAGGCAA